rnacentral:tRNA from 1 species
UCGGAAGGUGCGGCUGGAUCACCUCCUUUCUAGAGUAGCACCGGAGACGAAAGUCUCAUCAUCAAGCGUCCACGCUUAUCGACUGUUGAAUAGUAAAGAACAGUUUUAUCGGGGCUGUAGCUCAGCUGGUUAGAGCACCGUGUUGAUAACGCGGGGGUCGUUGGUUCGAGUCCAACCAGCCCUACCGGAGCUUCAAACAAAAGUGGAAACCUACUUUUGUUUGGUACGGCGUUAGUCUGAAAGAAUCCGGCGUAGCCGAAUACUUUCAGAUGGCAACAGCAAGCCCUGGGGGAUUAGCUCAGCUGGGAGAGCACCUGCUUUGCAAGCAGGGGGUCGUCGGUUCGAUCCCGUCAUCCUCCACCAUCAAAUGGUAAAAGUUCAAACGUAAGCACAGAUGCUUAGGUUUGGUCUUUUCGAGAUCACUGUUUUUUCGUUCUUUAACAAUCUGGAAGAAGUAAAGUUUUUAAGCACAUGCGACAGCAUGUGCUUGGGUAGUAGUAUUUGUAUCAUUGCAACACAGCUGUACUCUUGACCCCGUGACGAUCUCUGUUGUCAGCAGAGGCCAACGUUAUAGGGACAAGCGAAUAAGUGCACAU